AACGAACGCUGGCGGCGUGCCUAACACAUGCAAGUCGAGCGAGAAAGUCCCGGCAACGGGAUGAGUAAAGCGGCAAACGGGUGAGUAACGCGUGGGUAAUCUACCCUACGGAUCGGGAUAACCUGCCGAAAGGUGGACUAAUACCGGAUGAUGUUCUCGCGGUGAUUCCGUGGGAACCAAAGGGGGCGAGCGUAAGCAGCUCUCACCGAAGGAGGAGCCUGCGUCCGAUUAGCUAGUUGGUGGGGUAAUGGCCUACCAAGGCGACGAUCGGUAGCCGGCCUGAGAGGGCGAUCGGCCACACUGGAACUGAGACACGGUCCAGACUCCUACGGGAGGCAGCAGUGGGGAAUAUUGCGCAAUGGGCGAAAGCCUGACGCAGCGACGCCGCGUGGGUGAUGAAGGCCUUCGGGUCGUAAGCCCUGUCUGGUGGAACGAAACGCCUGGCGGCUAAUACCUGCCGGGUUUGACGGUACCACCGAAGGAAGCCCCGGCUAACUACGUGCCAGCAGCCGCGGUAAGACGUAGGGGGCGAGCGUUGUUCGGAUUUACUGGGCGUAAAGCGCGCGUAGGCGGCCAGAUAAGUCGGGUGUGAAAGCCCUCGGCUCAACCGAGGUUCCACAUCCGAUACUGCUUGGCUGGAGUCUAGGAGAGGAGAGCGGAAUUCCCAGUGUAGCGGUGAAAUGCGUAGAUAUUGGGAGGAACACCCGUGGCGAAGGCGGCUCUCUGGACUAGUACUGACGCUGAGGCGCGAAAGCUAGGGGAGCGAACGGGAUUAGAUACCCCGGUAGUCCUAGCCGUAAACGAUGGGCACUAGGUGUGGGAGGUAUUGACCCCUUCCGCGCCGAAGCUAACGCAUUAAGUGCCCCGCCUGGGGAGUACGGCCGCAAGGCUAAAACUCAAAGGAAUUGACGGGGGCCCGCACAAGCGGUGGAGCAUGUGGUUCAAUUCGACGCAACGCGAAGAACCUUACCAGGGCUUGACAUCCCACGAACCUGCCUGAAAGGGCGGGGUGCCCGCAAGGGAGCGUGGAGACAGGUGGUGCAUGGCUGUCGUCAGCUCGUGUCGUGAGAUGUUGGGUUAAGUCCCGCAACGAGCGCAACCCUCACCCCUAGUUGCCACCGGGUAAUGCCGAGCACUCGAGGGGAACUGCCAGCGUCAAGCUGGAGGAAGGCGGGGAUGACGUCAAGUCAUCAUGCCCCUUACGCCCUGGGCUACACACGUGCUACAAUGGCCGGUACAAAGGGAUGCGAGACCGUGAGGUGGAGCCAAUCCCAAAAAGCUGGUCUAAGUUCGGAUUGCAGUCUGCAACUCGACUGCAUGAAGUAGGAAUCGCUAGUAAUCGCGCAUCAGCACGGCGCGGUGAAUACGUUCCCGGGCCUUGUACACACCGCCCGUCACACCACGAAAGCUGGCUGUACUCGAAGUCGCUGAGCCAACCCGCAAGGGAGGCAGGCGCCGAAGGUAUGGUUAGUGAUUGGGGUG
rnacentral:rRNA from 1 species